GGUGUUCUUCCCGAUAUCUACACAUUCCACCGUUACACCGGGAAUUCCAGUCUCCCCUACCGCACUCAAGCCCGCCCGUACCCGGCGCGGAUCCACCGUUAAGCGAUGGACUUUCACACCGGACGCGACGAACCGCCUACGAGCCCUUUACGCCCAAUAAUUCCGGAUAACGCUUGCACCCUACGUAUUACCGCGGCUGCUGGCACGUAGUUAGCCGGUGCUUAUUCGAAAGGUACACUCACCCGAAGGCUUGCUCCCGAUCAAAAGCGGUUUACAACCCGAAGGCCGUCAUCCCGCACGCGGCGUCGCUGCAUCAGGCUUGCGCCCAUUGUGCAAUAUUCCCCACUGCUGCCUCCCGUAGGAGUCUGGGCCGUAUCUCAGUCCCAAUGUGGCCGGUCGCCCUCUCAGGCCGGCUACCCGUCGUAGGCUCGGUGGGCCGUUACCCCGCCGACUACCUGAUAGGACGCGACCCCAUCCCAUACCGAUGAAAUCUUUCCCAGACCACCAUGCGAUGGACUGGAGCAUCCGGCAUUACCACCCGUUUCCAG
rnacentral:rRNA from 1 species